rnacentral:rRNA from 1 species
ACAGGUGGUGCAUGGUUGUCGUCAGCUCGUGUCGUGAGAUGUUGGGUUAAGUCCCGCAACGAGCGCAACCCUUAUCCUUAGUAGCCAGCACGUGAUGGUGGGCACUCUAGGGAGACUGCCAGGGAUAACCUGGAGGAAGGUGGGGAUGACGUCAAAUCAUCAUGCCCCUUAUGAUUUGGGCUACACACGUGCUACAAUGGCGUAAACAAAGGGAAGCAACCCUGCGAAGGCAAGCAAAUCCCAAAAAUAACGUCCCAGUUCGGACUGUAGUCUGCAACCCGACUACACGAAGCUGGAAUCGCUAGUAAUCGCGAAUCAGAAUGUCGCGGUGAAUACGUUCCCGGGUCUUGUACACACCGCCCGUCACACCAUGGGAGUCAGCAACGCCCGAAGUCAGUGACCCAACCUGAAAGGGAGGGAGCUGCCGAAGGCGGGGCAGGUAACUGGGGUGAAGUCGUAACAAGGUAGCCGUAUCGGAAGGUGCGGUUGGAUCACCUC